rnacentral:lncRNA from 1 species
AAUCUUGAACUGAAAUAUCAUGACUUGUAAAAGUAGUUGUUGAAUUAAUAAAUGGAAAAUUGUUGGAAAAUUGUUGACUACUUGACUUUGAAUCUUUGCUUGAUGAAGUUGUACUGAAAUUUAUCAUGGAAAUAUUUGUAUCAUCAUCUGGCUGUGACUUGUCACAUGAAAUAUUUGUUUUGAUAUCCCUUUUAUCAAAUAGUAACAUAGUUGAUUUAUCCAUACCAACCUGAUCAUCAAUACAAAAGAGUGAAAAAAGAAGUUGUAAUUACUAUCUAGUUGAAUUUAAAAGAGAAGCUAAAUAAAAAGAAUAUAGGAAAUUAUAGAUUAUUGGAAAAUUAGAGUUGUUUAAUUUAUAAAAUCUGAAAAAUGGAAUUAUUCAAAUUCAAAGUUUUUCUCUAGCCACCUAGUUUAUAUUGACCUGAAAUUUAGUAGUUUGAUUGAUUUGACUUCGUACAAGGGUGAAGAUUUCCUAUGCAAGAAGUAUAUUUAGGAUUUGAAUCCAAAAACAUUGAUUAAAUUAAGAGAAAGAGAGAAGUGAUGAAAAUAUCUUCAAAUUUGGCGUAAAUUCGUUCCUAAAUGGCGCCUAAUACUUAAAGCACCGAUAGAUGAAUAGAUAAUUGGGUUAGUUCAAUUAGUCAAGGCUGGGGUAUUUUAAGAACUAGGCAUAGUUCAGAUAAUUCCCUUCAAAUUUAAGAUGAUUUUCACCACUUCUCUCUUUAAGUUAAAGAUGAAUAGAUAUUAAUUAUGUCACCACGCUUUUUAAUGGUCAUAUUUGAAAAAUCAAUUUUGCAUAAUUUUUUUUAACCAAUAAAUUUGAGGCAUAGUAAAAGAAGAUAGAUUCGAUCGAUUAAGUACCUUGUCAAAG